GCCGCCAUAGCUCAGUCGGUUAGAGCGUGGGUCUAAUAAGCCCGAGGCUGCAAUUUCGACCCCUGCUUGCUGCA
rfam:Angiostrongylus costaricensis strain Costa Rica genome assembly, scaffold: ACOC_contig0000143